rfam:Camelus ferus unplaced genomic scaffold scaffold740, whole genome shotgun sequence.
CUCACCUCCCAAUUAGCCAGACCCUUCACAGUAGGAUUGAAUUCAUUUGGCUGACAAGAAAAACAACUUCCCAAUCACCUGCUUGAUAACCCCUCAGCACAGUCAAAUGAAGUCUC